AACCCGUCUAACAUGUAACGUUAUUGUUAUUUCGCAGUUAUAUAAAGUAGCAAAUUAUCGUUCCUGAAUAGGUGGCGCCGUGGUAGCCGAUCCUGUUCUUCAACUUCCGGUUUCUGCACUGUGCAACUAUUUCAGUUGCAUUUUUAAUUAACGAUGCCAAGUACUUGUUGUUGUGUACCUGGAUGUCAUUUAAGAGGAGGACAUGCAUUUCCAAAUGACUUAUAAAGAAGGAAAAGUUGGAUCAACGCCAUGGCCCAUACGCAGAUUGGACGAGAACACGGUGGAGUCCAUCUCAAUCAGCUGUUGUUUGCAAGGCACAUUUUACUGAAAAAGACUACGUGCAGGAAACUAUUCAUGAGCGUAAACCCUCCAUACAGAGACUUCAGUCUACUGCCAUUCCCAGCCUAUUUUCCUGGAUCAAGCAAGAGACUGAAUCGUCCGCAAAAAGAAAAAUCAGGGCAGUUUCCUGUGAAAACAAAAGAACUAAACUUGAUGAAUAUUGUAAUAGAAAUCUAGAGGAAAGUUUUGAUUGUAAAGUUGGUUUUCCUGAAGAAGUCAUUCAUACUGCAGACAGGAUUUAUGACUGUCCACCACCAACUGCCGAGCUAAUGUUGAGCUUCACAGAUGGAAUUACGCAAACACCAUCAAUGCCUAUAUUUUCAGCAGAGAAUUUUGAAAUGAAGACACGUGACACAGCCAUACAUUUUUAUACCAGUUUAGAGUUGAAUACUAAAUUUUUAUUUGUUUUGACCACACUUGGUCCAGCAGCACAUUGUUUGAGAUACAUAUAUUUUCAAAUUGAUAGGGUGUCAUUUGAAAAUCAUUUUUUUUAUGACUUUGAUGAAAUUGAGGCAUUAUACAACCAACUUUGAACUGUCUAGAUUCUAGAUUGAAACUAGUGUUAAGAAUAUUGUGUAAACAUGGAUUGUUUUUAUGUCUAAACAGUGGCGUGAGGCUAACACUUGGCCAUUUAGUGGUUUAGUCAGAUAUUUUUCGCCAUCCAACUUCAAAUUAAAGUUUCCUACAACUUGGAUUAUUAUUGACAGCACAGAAUAUCCCGUGAUAAAACAUAAAGCUCCUAGAGCUCAGGCAACCUUUUCAUCAUAUAAAAACAGAAACACUGAAAAUACUUGUAUGUUCGACACCUGGUGGUUUAGUCAACUACAAAAAUGUAUGUCUCUAAUGCAUAUGUUGGUUGUACCAGUGACUGUGAAAUAGUUGAAAGAUGUAGAAUACAUGUGUAGUUCAAUUAUGUGAUCCAGGUGACAGUGUGAUGGCAGACAAAGGUUUAAAUGUGCAAGAUUUGUUUGCUCACUUUUUUCAAAAAAAGAAACAGAAUUAGUUCCAAAACUCUUAUACAGGAUAGAAAAGUCUCCAAUUAACACGUGCACAUACAUUACAUAGAGCUAAUUAUUGGACUUGGCAAAACAUACAAAAUUCUAAUAAAUCCUAUGAGUGGAACUGAAACAAAACUUUCAUCUGAAAUAACAUUUAGUUGUUUUAUGUUGUGUAAUUUUAGAACUUGUAUUGUGCCAAAGGAUGCAUAAAUAAAAGUGACGCAAUGAA